rnacentral:sRNA from 2 species
AAAUAUCCUCGGUAGGUGAGGUUACUUUAAGGAUAAGGAUUGAUACCGUGAAAGGGUGGAAACACUCUCAGCUGGUUAGCAGAUUUUACCGAACAAAGAAGGUUUAAUUUAAUUCAAUUUCAUGCCUUAAAGAGCUAAAACUUGAACGAGUAGAGUGUAUUU